rnacentral:rRNA from 1 species
GACGAACGCUGGCGGCGUGCCUAAUACAUGCAAGUUGAGCGCUGAAGGUUGGUACUUGUACCAACUGGAUGAGCAGCGAACGGGUGAGUAACGCGUGGGGAAUCUGCCUUUGAGCGGGGGACAACAUUUGGAAACGAAUGCUAAUACCGCAUAAAAACUUUAAACACAAGUUUUAAGUUUGAAAGAUGCAAUUGCAUCACUCAAAGAUGAUCCCGCGUUGUAUUAGCUAGUUGGUGAGGUAAAGGCUCACCAAGGCGAUGAUACAUAGCCGACCUGAGAGGGUGAUCGGCCACAUUGGGACUGAGACACGGCCCAAACUCCUACGGGAGGCAGCAGUAGGGAAUCUUCGGCAAUGGACGAAAGUCUGACCGAUCAACGCCGCGUGAGUGAAGAAGGUUGUCGGAUCGUAAAACUCUGUUGGUAGAGAAGAACGUUGGUGAGAGUGGAAAGCUCAUCAAGUGACGGUAACUACACAGAAAGGGACGGCUAACUACGUG